AUUGAACGCUGGCGGCAGGCCUAACACAUGCAAGUCGAGCGGAUGAAGGGAGCUUGCUCCUGGAUUCAGCUGCGGACGGGUGAGUAAUGCCUAUGAAUCUGCCUGGUAGUGGGGGAUAACGUCCGUAAACGGGCGCUAAUACCGCAUACGUCCUGAGGGAGAAAGUGGGGGAUCUUCGGACCUCACGCUAUCAGAUGAGCCUAGGUCGGAUUAGCUAGUUGGUAGGGUAAAGGCCUACCAAGGCGACGAUCCGUAACUGGGUAGAGAGGAUGAUCAGUCACACUGGGACUGAGACACGGCCCGAACUACUAGGGGAGGCAGCAGUGGGGAAUAUUGGAAAAUGGGGGCAAUCCUGAUCGAGCCAUGCCGCGUGAGUGAUGAAGGCCGUAGGGUUGGAAAGCUCGUUCACCGAUGAAGAUAAUGACGGUAGUCGGAGAAGAAGCCCCGGCUAACUUCGUG
rnacentral:rRNA from 1 species